CCUACGGGAGGCAGCAGUAGGGAAUCUUCCACAAUGGGCGAAAGCCUGAUGGAGCAACGCCGCGUGAGUGAUGAAGGCCUUCGGGUUGUAAAACUCUGUCAUUCGGGACGAACCGGAGUCUGAGGAAAUGCAGACUCUCUGACGGUACCGGAGGAGGAAGCCCCGGCUAACUACGUGCCAGCAGCCGCGGUAAUACGUAGGGGGCAAGCGUUGUCCGGAUUCACUGGGCGUAAAGCGCGCGCAGGCGGUGAUGUAAGUCUGAGGUGAAAACCCGAAGCUCAACUUCGGGACUGCCUUGGAUACUGCGUCACUUGAGGAUAGGAGAGGCAAGGGGAAUUCCACGUGUAGCGGUGAAAUGCGUAGAGAUGUGGAGGAACACCUGUGGCGAAGGCGCCUUGCUGGCCUAUUUCUGACGCUGAGGCGCGAAAGCGUGGGGAGCAAACAGGAUUAGAUACCCUGGUAGUCCACGCUGUAAACGAUGAGUGCUAGGUGUAGGUGGGCUCAUACCCAUCUGUGCCGAAGCUAACGCAUUAAGCACUCCGCCUGGGGAGUACGGUCGCAGACUGAAACUCAAAGAGUAGUUAGCGNGNGAGAGCGACGACGACGACGACGGAGGGAGAGG
rnacentral:rRNA from 1 species